AUAAACGCUGGCGGCGUGCCUAACACAUGCAAGUCGAGCGAGAAAGGUCUUCGGACUGAGUAAAGCGGCGAACGGGUGAGUAACGCGUGGGAAUCUACCUUUUAGUGAGGAAUACCUCCGAGAAAUCGGAGUUAAUACUGCAUACGUCCCUACGGGGAGAAAGAUGGCCUCUUUGCUGUCGCUAAAAGAUGAGCCCGCGUACUAUUAGCUAGUUGGUGAGGUAAUGGCUCACCAAGGCAAAGAUGGUUAGCCGGCCUGAGAGGGUGUACGGCCACACUGGAACUUAGACACGGUCCAGACUCCUACGGGAGGCAGCAGUGGGGAAUCUUGCACAAUGGGCGAAAGCCUGAUGCAGCGACGCCGCGUGGAGGAUGAAGGUCUUCGGAUUGUAAACUUCUGUUAAGUGGGACGAAAUAGCUCCUGGGAAUAUCAGGAGAAGAUGACGGUACCAUUAGAGAAAGCACCGGCUAACUUCGU
rnacentral:rRNA from 1 species